AAUUGACUUUCAUGCAAUUGUUCUUUAUUUUCCCAGGAAGAUAACACCUGGUGCCCGGACUGGACGGGGAAGCGCCUGCACCGUCUGUGGAGCACAUCCAGUGCCAGUGCUACCCCAGGGGCCACGGUCUGCAGGGACAUCCCCUUCAAGAAGGACGAGGACCUCGUGCGGGAUCGGCUCCUCUCCUGGCAGCAGGUCUGCAGAGGCUGCCAGCACCUCAUGCCAUGGAAACGGCUCCGCUCGGCCUGCCAGGCUGGGAGGGCUGGAGGGCGGCGGGUGUUCAUUUGCUGUCAAAAAGAAAUCGUUCUAUUUUUUUGUCA